UGACCAUAUUACUUGUAAUGGACUUUAUUUAGGCCGGUUACUAAUUUCACUUCUUUUUUUUCUUUUGGGAAAUUAGUACAGAAGCUUAUUCAUCAAGAAUUCCGUAAGGGCUGGAAGAUUCGAGAAGAAACGUCGAUCCAUGACUGCUUUCGGAAAGGUCACCUUUUUCACACUGCAACAUGAUUCUGGAACUAUCCAGCUUUAUUGUGAAAAGGAUAUGCUUUCUCAACUUCAAUUUGAUCACUUAAACCCACUUGUUGAUAUUUGUUAAUUCUCGUGGUGGGGCAUAUGGUCAUGGAAUCAAUAAAGCUAUCGUCAUUCGGUCAUUGGUAUUGAAUCAUCAGAUUGCUUUAGUUGUGCUAAUGGAGCAAUUAUACAGGCUAAUGUAUAGCCAUUUUGUUAACUUAAGCUUGCUAGUUAUGAUCAUUGUAAACAUCUGACUUGAUGUGUCUCCAAUCUGGAGACACUAGCCAACUUGCACAUUCCUGUGAGUAAGCUCGUCUUCCUUCUUUGUCUUUGCUUAACAUCAUUAUCUAUUAGUAUUAAAGUCACAAUCUCUUAAAUUAUUAUCUAAAUUGGAUACUAGUAUUAUGAGAAACUAAUGUCUACUGAAUUGGAUAUUCUGUUUCUACACUACGUAAGAUUAAGAAUGGUGAGUGCCUCCUACAUGUAAAAUUCUCAUUAGCUACUAUGUACAAUGCAUAGUAUCUAAUUGCUAUCUGUAUGCUACUAAUAUAAAAUGGGUUAAGUUAUAACUAUAUACUCAUUGUAUGUCUGCUCUUAAUAUAAUAUGUGUUAAUUUAUCACUAUUUGAUCACUAUACAGAAAACUUUUUUCCACCAAAUAAGCGUUAGUUUGUUUUGUUAUUUGAUCACUAUACAGAAAACUUUUUUCCACCAAAUAAGCGUAGUGCAUACUUGAACUCCUACACCUGCUCAUGUGGAGAGGCAAAGAAAUUGUGUUGUCGAGUGUAGAGAUUAGUUGAAGCUAUAGACAAAUUGAACUUAAGUUUUCAGAUUGGUCUGGUGAUUGCAUUGCACAAAUUUCUUUUUCCUUAUUGUCGCAGAAAAAACAAUUUAGAUUUAUCAAUAUUAGUGUACAGCACGAUUAAUUUCUAUCGACUAAAAGGCACAGAGAUUAUGAGUAUGUACAUUAAAUUCCUAAUACUGUAUUGCUUUCCUCUGUUCUACACAGGAAUUUCUUAUAAAAAAAUUUGGUACCUAUUUUCCCUCUUGAAUUAAUAGAAAGUGAUAUGAUGGUUUCAUAGGAUACUUUGUGCUCUAUAUCUUGAGAUAUUGAGGUUAGUCCCAUCAUUCUUCUUUUUUUUGUUUGAUGGAUAGAUCCUAUCAUUUGGAGCAUAUACUUGUAUAGUUUUAUGUUGCAUCUUUCUUAUUUCAAUAAUUUUCUCUUACUGAGGUGAAUCCUCUUGGGGUUAGGCUCUCAAAUUCCUUAUCAUUGUAGCUCUUGGUAGAACUUAUUAUGUGUAGUCUUUAUUGGAUGCAUCUGUGGAGUUCCCUCCCUCCCAUCCAACUUGAUUAAUUUCAUUUUAUAGUUCCCUGCAUUGGCCUUGUAAUUUUUGAAGAUUCAAAAAGUUGAGAAAUCAAUUUGUUUUUAUUGUUGGAACUUUGCAAGAUUUCCCGUGAGCUAAGAUUCUUUGAGAUUGGUCUAUGAGGUAACCAUUUAGCAGGUAGUCAAUAAUAUUUCAAGCUUAUUCUACCAGCACCUUCAAAAGGGUGAACAAGCUUACAAGUGGAUGAUUUCUACAAGACAUUCUAUAUAUUUUGUUUAGUUUAUUAUACAUCUCUUAUCAAUCUAUUCUUUUAGGAUGACAUGUCCUUUACAGUUGAAAAUAAUUUGAAGCAGACAGAAUAAAAUCGUCAAAAUUUGAAGGUUGACCAUUGUAUCAUUUAACUAACUAGCUUUUUUAGUUAUAUAGUAUUAUUUAUUGUGAA